UACGGAGGUGGCUAGCGUUGUUCGGAAUUACUGGGCGUAAAGCGCACGUAGGCGGCUUUGUAAGUUAGAGGUGAAAGCCCAGGGCUUAACCCUGGAAUUGCCUUUAAGACUGCAUCGCUAGAAUCGUGGAGAGGUGAGUGGAAUUCCGAGUGUAGAGGUGAAAUUCGUAGAUAUUCGGAAGAACACCAGUGGCGAAGGCGACUCACUGGACACGUAUUGACGCUGAGGUGCGAAGGCGUGGGGAGCAAACAGG
rnacentral:rRNA from 1 species